CAGCCGCCGCGGGAAAACGUAGGUGGCAAGCGUUGUCCGAAAUUAUUGGGCGUAAAGGGCUCGCAGGCGGUUUCUUAAGUCUGAUGUGAAAGCCCCCGGCUCAACCGGGGAGGGUCAUUGGAAACUGGGAAACUUGAGUGCAGAAGAGGAGAGUGGAAUUCCACGUGUAGCGGUGAAAUGCGUAGAGAUGUGGAGGAACACCAGUGGCGAAGGCGACUCUCUGGUCUGUAACUGACGCUGAGGAGCGAAAGCGUGGGGAGCGAACAGGAUUAGAUACCCCAGUAGUCCCUGUCUCUUAUAC
rnacentral:rRNA from 1 species